CGCAAUGAACAGCGAAUGCUUCCCUUCUUGCGGGUAGGCAUAUGUCAGCGCGCGCGUCACCCGCCACGAGUUCCGGGGGCGCCUUGGAUACGGCGGCCGAGACUGCCGCGGCUACCGACGGCUAUAAAUCGCCUCAGGGUCCCGGCACCGGCCAUGGUGGCGAGGAUGGCGACGGACGGCGGAGCUGAGAACCCAGCCCGUGAUCCGGCUUCCAACCCCAAGGUGGUCAUGAUUCGAGGACUCGUGAACGACGAUGCAACAGAUGGCUGGGAAAAAUGCUGGGAGGAAGGACUGACCCCAUGGGAUUUGGGACAGGCAACACCUGCAGUUUUGCAACUUGUUAGAACUGGGUCUCUUCCAAGAGGCAGGGUUCUUGUUCCUGGAUGUGGCAGUGGGUAUGAUGUGGUUGCUAUUGCUGGCCCUGAGCGCUAUGUUGUAGGCUUGGAUAUAUCAACUAGUGCUGUUGAGAAAGCAAAAGAGUUGUCUUCCUCUUUACCAAAUGCAAACCAGUUCACCUUCAUGGCAGCAGAUUUCUUCACUUGGCAGCCAACAGAGAAGUUUGAUCUUAUCUUUGAUUAUACAUUCUUUUGUGCAAUUGACCCAUGCUUGAGGCCAGCCUGGGCACAGAAAAUUCAAGAGAUUUUAAAACCUGACGGAGAGCUUAUAACACUGAUAUAUCUGAUCAGUGGCCAGGAAGGAGGACCGCCAUACAAUACAACUGUAGCUGACUAUGAGCAGGUACUGAAUCCUGUGGGUUUCAAAGCAUUCUCAAUUGAAGACAAUGAGCUAGCAGUCAAGCCACGCAAGUUGUAGGCAAUGGUGACAUCAAGGCCUCUGGUGGUGGUUGAUGUUACUGUCUACAUCCACACAAAUUACAUUUUUAGACCAUGUCCUAUUUAUGUUUAAAGGAUUGGAGUUCAGGUGGCUUCUCCUAAAAACUUGCUGAGAGAAAAUCACUAGGAAGCUCGAUAAAAUCCUUCAAACAUUCAUAAGGGGACAAAAGAAAAAGGUGGCAGAUGCCUAGGCAGUGGGUAAGGAUAUGAGUUCAUGAGUUUCUUAAGUUACAUGUCAAUUUAAUUAACAGUUUACAGAUAUUAAGGCAUUUAUGUUGAAACUGUUGGAAAAUUGUUGGACUAUUUGUUUGUCUCUUUCAUGAGUCAACUGUGAGCUUGUCUAAAUGUAGUUCUUCAUUUUGUUUCGUAUGAUGUAAAGUACUCAAGAGGUUUUUGUCGAUAUGUGAGCUAAAUACAAGGUUCUUCAUUUUGUUUCGUAUGAUGUAAAGCACUAAUCUAUGAACAAACCAGUAAUCUUUGACUUUUGCCCUGGUUUGCAACUUCAAUUUUUUGUUUGAAGGGACCAUCUCAGAAACUAAUUUUUGUUUCGUGUAGCUUCUGAAAUUUCAUUACAACAUUUCAGGGAAAUGAGAAGCUUGGGAGGUGGAAGCGGCUUUCACACAAAUCGUUGUUAUAACAAGGCAUUAUUGGGAGACCUCAGCGCACGAUAACUGGACAUUGAUUGUUUUCCUCCUCAUACCAUUCUUGGCACAACUGUUCCUGGUUUUAUUAGCCUAGUAUACACAAAAAAAA